GGUUAUGGCUCAGCGGUAGAGUGUUCGCCUAACACAUGCGAGGCCCUGGGUUCGAUCCUCAGCACCA
rnacentral:tRNA from 1 species